UCGUGACAAUGCCCAUGAUAGAGUUGCUGUGGUUUAUAUGUUCAGGCCGACUGAAGGUGAUCGCAUUGGCAUCUGCAGUGGGCGUUUCUGUCGGAUUAAUAUCUCUGACCGUGGUCGUCAUGAUCAGGUGAUUUUACGUUUACUGGCUUUAAUAGUAAAUAUCUGAUCUUCUCAUCUGAUCUUGCACACAUCAUUUCACAUCUCUUUUGCAGUAAAAACAUGCAUCGCGUGGACACUGAAAAUCUUGAGGAAGAAAAACGGGUCAUUUUUAUAUAUCUUAUUCUCAUCGUAUGAAUUGAAUCUAAUCUGUAUUUAUCAUAUUAAUCGAUUGCCAUGUUUCUCCUAAAAAACAGUGUUCACCAUUAGUUGACUUGCCAGUGGACAAUACUCUGUUUAGUGAAUCAACUUCAGAGACGUUUCUCCUCAAGAGCACAAAAAUGUCAGACAUUCCGGAAGAGCCAGAGGAGAUUUAUGAAAGUAGCCACCCUUCCAUCGUGCCCCUGAAAGAAGCCGCUCAGAGCACUGAGGAACAGGGAAAAAUCAACUACAUUACGGUGCAUUAUUCUCACAUGCCCAGUCGGGACCAGGCGAAGGUCACAAACAUUCCUCUAGAUGGAGACAAGAAGCUCAAAGAUGGUCCUAAUGUUGUUAUUCUCGCCAAGCAACCGAGAGUGGAGAUGGAAGAAUCUGGAGUCUAAAGCGGUCAACUGAUGGAAGAAAUUGUAAAACCACACAGGGACUUUUUUUUAAAAUUAUAUGCACUUAUGGACCACUUGAUGUAGCCUGAAUGUCAGAGACUUGAAAAAGUAGAAAAAAUCCCCACUGUUCUUUUUAAUUGUGUCCAGCUGCAGUUUGCCCUAAUAAAAUCCAGCUGUUUAAAACGACACGCUACUGUUCACAUGUUUGGGGACAGUAAGAUUUAUUUUAAAUAUUUUUGAAAGAAGUCUCUUAUGUUCUUUUUUUAAUUUAUUUUGAUCAAGUGCAC
rnacentral:lncRNA from 1 species